AUGCCUUCACUCAGUCUAUGUCACAACUGCUUUUUUUUCUUUUUGGUUGAUUUCAAAGGAAAUUGGAGCCAAUGCUGGAUUUUCUGGCAAUCACGAACAGCUCUGUUUUCUGCGGGUUCCGUGAAAUCUAUGAAACCACGAUUUAGAGAAAGGAGAAGAAGAGACAAAAUUGUGUACUCAGUGUCUCUACAAGCAAGCAGAAGGAAGGAUAACCCAGCAAGAGAGAUCCAGAAACUUCCAAAAUAGGAUGCAGCAGUUACUGGACAUGGUAGCUGUGUUUGCACCUUUAGAGGAAGGUUUAAUUUUGGUAAGGAAAUGCUGAAGUUGCCAUGCAUAUUGACCUUUUCAGAGGUGAACCAAUCAGAUCAUGAGGAUGGAGGCAGGAAAUUAUAAGCAUGGGAGUGAACUAGCACUGUGGACUUAGUAACUGAUUGAAGUGGGACCAAGAGAUGUGCUUGCUGUGAGAGCUAGAUGCCAGUAUCUGUACUAAUUUGGAUACAGGUGAGUGGAAUCCCAGUUUUACAUGCUAGAAAAACCCUCCAUUAGGAGAAUGUUUUUUACUGCAAGCAAUGUUUAUGCUUUAUUAGAUCUAGAGGGAGAACUUGGGAGAGAAGCAUUUCUUACCCAUAGAGCAAAUAGGGCCUGUAGAACUUGCAUGUAGCUUGUAGGUGCUGCUGGGAUUCCAUCACAGCUAAACAUAGGAUGGGAUAGACCUCCCUAAAGUGAAAGUUUGUAUGCUCUUUACGAACUAAGACAGGCUUAGAAAAAAUACCCAGAGCCUUAGUGAUGCAGUGAAUAAAUAUUUUAUGUGCCAAUUUCAGUACCUAUACUACUCUGGAUACAGACUGCAGAUGUUAGUUUCACCAGGAGCCAUACUCUUUAGUUAAUGUGCAUUAAGAGAGGUUAAUGUGCAUUUUCCUAGUACCUCACAAUGAAGGAACUAGAUUUAAUGCGCAUUAACUAAUGCGUGCUAAUGUGCAUGGAGACGUGUAGACACGCCCACUAGGUAAAGACUAGUCAGCUAUUAAUCCAAGGGCUGGAAACCUGCUAGUUGUGGAGACCCGGGAUUGUUUGCUGACAGAGUGUUGAAGCAUUUGUUAGAAAAAAUAGCCAUUCUUUCCAAGUUCUGAAAGGUCACUCACUACCUGCUGUGUAAAGACUAAGACAUCGUCUCUGGAUGCUCGCAGGAAAAUUAAUAGGUUUUUAAAUAUAAGUAUGUAACAGAAAUAAAGGAUUGGGGGAGGGUAUCUGUAAUACCAGUAGGUUUAAUGACCACAAGUUUUUGUUUAAAAAUCAUUCAUGGUAAUUCAGGAAUUAUUUACAAUGUUUUAUAGUAUUUACAAGGUUUUCUCUGUGCAUUAAAUAUUUGUUUACUGACAAA